AAGUCGAGCGGACAGAUGGGAGCUUGCUCCCUGAUGUUAGCGGCGGACGGGUGAGUAACACGUGGGUAACCUGCCUGUAAGACUGGGAUAACUCCGGGAAACCGGGGCUAAUACCGGAUGGUUGAUUGAACCGCAUGGUUCAAUUAUAAAAGGUGGCUUUUACCUACCACUUACAAAUGGACCCGCGGCGCAUUACCUAUUUGGGGAGGUAACGGCUCACCAAGGCAACAAUGCGUACCCAACCUGAAAGGGUGAUCGGCCACACUGGGACUGAAACACGGCCCAAACUCCUACGGGAGGCAGCAGUAGGGAAUCUUCCCCAAUGGACAAAAGUCUGACGGACCAACCCCCCGUGAGUGAUGAAGGUUUUCGGAUCGUAAAACUCUGUUGUUAGGAAAAAACAAGUACCGUUCAAAUAGGGCGGUACCUUGACGGUACCUAACCAAAAAGCCACGGCUAACUACUUGCCACCAGCCGCGGUAAUACGUAGGUGGCAAGCGUUGUCCGGAAUUAUUGGGCGUAAAGCGCGCGCAGGCGGUUUCUUAAGUCUGAUGUGAAAGCCCCCGGCUCAACCGGGAAGGGUCAUUGAAAACUGGGAAACUUGAGUGCAAAAAAGGAGAGUGAAAUUCCACGUGUAGCGUUGAAAUGCGUAAAAGAUGUGAAGGAACACAAUUGGCGAAGGCAACUCUCUGGUCUUGUAACUGACGCUGAGACGCGAAAGCGUGGGGAGCGAACAGGAUUAGAUACCUGG
rnacentral:rRNA from 1 species